rnacentral:lncRNA from 1 species
CGGUCGUCGGUGGUGAGGGGGGCCGCCGGAUCCGCGCGUGUGGAUUGAUUUAGGCAUUAGUUUCUUAGGAUUUUGGGUUGUUCAUCGUCAUGGCUUCAGCUGUGGCGAUGGCGGCGCCGACUAAUAAAUCUUCAGAUCCUUUCCCAACGAAGCGAUCUGCUUUUGGGGUGGAUUUGAAAACCAGACUGUUCAAGCGAGGAUGGUGCGGCAGCGGCGGCAUCCUCGUGGUGGACCUGUGUCCUCGGGCUUCGCUGUUGCGACGACGUUUGCUCCAGCGCCGACGUGGAGCUUGGGAGGUAGUCCAGGAGCGGAUGCAGAUUGUGGUCUGCAUCGACGACAUCUGGAAGAUGGUGGAUCUGGGUUCGUGGUUCGUGGCAGGCAGGUAUGGUUUCCUCCUCCAACUUCUUAGUUGGGGGGUGCCAGAUCUGGAGUUCGAUGGUGUGUCCGGGGUGUUGCCUCGGUCUGAUUCGUUCAACGGCAAUGGUUUCGCCUUUAUUGGCGAGCCACCUUGGAGGUCCGCAAAGCUACAUAUCAGCGAUGGAGCCGCGUCGAGCUCGGGUGUGGAGGUGACUCGUCAUUUUCUCUUUCGACGGCUGCUAUGGUGGUGCCAGAGGAAGGUGACGGUCAUUGGUGUCAAGCUUAGAGGAUUCUUCAGUCUUGUUUGUAAUUUUACUUCUUGGCUGGUGUUCCUGUGUGCAAAGGCUAGCGUUUUGCUGUCUUUUCAGUUUUGUCAGCUCGGUAUGUACGUGACUUGUACUAUGAUCCUUAUGAUAUAAAUGACACGUAUUACCAUGCAAAAAAAGAAAUAUAAGAUCAUGAUCUAAAUGCUCUUAUACUUUUUGCGUUCAGUAUGCACCAUUCAAAGCGACGCCAUCAACUUUCAACCAUUUAUGCCUUCAUUUGCUAUUUUUCAUGCAUUUAAUGAUUUGUUUUGAACUAAAUGACACUAAAUUUUAUGCAGGCAGCGCACCACCUUUAGUACCGGUUGGAGCCACCAACCGGUACUACAGUUGCUUAGUAAGCUAUUUUUUAGUCCCACCUCGCCAAGAGAAUAAAACUACUCACAAAUAAAUAGAAGAAAAUAAAUAUAACAGAAAAGAAAAAACUAUACAAAAAACUACGCAGAAAUAAAUAGAAGAAAAUAAAGCAGAAAAGAAAAAACCUAUAAAAAAAUUGGGACGCUGCCCUGUGGGCCUGCUAGGACACGGGCGUGCAAUUACAGGCCUUAAGGCCCAGCAGACUCACAGGGUAGCGCGCAGAAUUUAGGCUCACAAGCCUGCUAUAUAGAGGAGUUCGAAGAGGUAGCCGCGGCUGGGUUUAUAAACCAGUGCGGCUUCCUUUCGCCCGGCGAGGUGGGACUAAACUUUAGGGUGGCAGCGCGAGGCCUUUAGUACCGGUUGGUGGUCUGAUCUUCCCGCCUCCUGGCCUGGCCAAAGUUGGCCUUUAGUACCGAUUGGUGGCUCCAACCGGUACUAAAAGCCUCUCCUAUAUAUACAACACUUGCGAAAAUUUAGUUAGAUCUCCACUUCUUUCGUCUCAACAACCUCUCGCGCGCGCCCGUCGCUCGUCGUCGCCGCCGCCGCCCGUCGUCCGUCGUCGUCCCCGCCGCCGCCCGUCAUCAUCGCCGUCUCGCGCCGCCGCCCCGAACGCCGCGCGCCGCCGUCCGUCGUCGUUCCGCCGCGGUACGUCUCUCGCUCUCCCCGCCCCGUAUGCCGGCGCCCCCGCUCGUACGUACGGGGCGGCGCCGUACGGGGACACACACACAUAUACACACACAUAUAUACGUACAUGUACAUGCACACAUACACAUACACACACACAUUUUUUUUACUUUUUUCUGUUUUUUAGAAAAAAGUUAAUUAGAUGAUCGAAUGUUAGAUGAAUUAGCUAGAUAGAAAAUUGUCGAACUAGAGAUUUGAACUAGUUGAAUAAUUAAUAUAACUAGUUUAUUUUUAGUAAGAAAAUUGUCGAACUAGUUUAUUUAGGUAUAUGAGAUUUGAACUAGUUCAAUAAUUAAUAUAACUAGUCUAUUUUUAGUAAGAAAAUUUAGGUAUCUGAGAUUUGAUGAUCUAAGUAAAAUAUUAUUUGUUAAUGCGUUUUUCUGUUUAUUUAAUUUUUUGUAUAUUUUGAGUUUAUAUAAAUGUUAGAUUAAUGUCGAAUGUUAGAUGAAUUAGAUAAAAAAGUUAAAUAUAUAGUAAUGUCAAUUGUUAGAGAUGAAUAUAAAGAUCUCGCGCGGCAGGUCCGCCAGAAAAACUCAAAAGAGAAAGAAGUUUAGUCAUUUUUUUCAAACGAUAUUUCAUUCAUAUGAUAGAAUUUUAAUAUGGGUUUAGUUAGAUAUAUUAAUGUCAAAUGUUAGAUGAAUAUAUAUUUGGCUAGAUAUUAAUUAAUGUUAGAUAGUAAUAGGUGUUUAAUGUUUCACCUAUAUGAACAUAGGAAAUGUCAUCUGACGACGAAAAGGAUUUCAUUAUGUGGGAACACUGUGAAGACCAGCGCGGCCUGUGCGACAGAAAUUUCCUUGUUGAUGGUAGGCGCUUCAGCAUCAAGCUGGAUGAGACAUUCAAAGUUGAUACAGUAAGUCACUUUGGCAAUUAUUAUUUGAAUGCAAAACUUAUGCUUCAUUUGCUUCAACUUAUAAUUUUAAAUUUUCACUAUUCUACUAGCGCAUCCCCUGCCAUGCAAGAAUUUUUGUCUUGAAUAAGAUAGGUUUUAAUGCUAUAGAUGAUAUGGUGGUAAAGAGAGUUUACUUGAAGACGGAGCAUGGGUAUACUUUCAACGUCAAAUUAUAUAAUGGAGACACAUACACCCAUUUUGAAUGCAAAACUUGGCAAGCACUAUGCAAGGCUUAUGUAUUUGAGCUUGAUAUGAUUAUCACCUUUGAUAUUCGUUCGGAAGAUGAUAUUGAAGGUAAUAUAGACAUCUGGGUCGAUGUGCAAACGCCUCCAAUUCUACCAUUAUGUGAGUUUUUCUCAACCAUGCAUGCAUAUGUUUAUGUUUUUGAUACAGUUUAUUCAAAAAUAGUUGACAACUAAUUUGUAUUGUCAGCUUAUUUCGGUUCAAGCAAACAUGUCCGGCGCUUGGUAGACAGGACCUACUACUGCCCCAGGGCUCAACUAAACUGCGAGGAGAUAAAUUAUUAUGUUUCAUGGGAUCUUAAUAACGUCAAGACAAAUUUUUUUCCUGAACUUAGAAAUGUUAGUACUCAAAACGUGCGACCAAUGGUGAUCGUAUUGAACUACGGUCACAUCUAUAAUCGAAAGAUGGUAAGAUUUUAACUAUUUGUCCUUAAUUAGUGCAUCUUUUGCAUACAUUAUUUUUGAAGCUAAACUUUCAUUGCUUAGUAUAUUAAUUACUAUACGAUGUUCUUCAACAGGGACUUCCGAUGACAGGUGUGCCUCAGUGGAUCGAGACUAAAGGUCACAUGUCAAUGGUUAGCUUACGGCCAAGAUAUCCUACAUUAGACAUGAGUGUAUUCAGGAUUUCUGAAAGCGAAGAAUGCUUGAUAGUGAAAGAUUGAAGCAAAAUUGUUAACGAUCGCAGAGAAGUACUAGGAGGCAGCAAGGAGAAGCGCAACCCAAGAUUAGGAGACAGAUUCAUCUGCAUGCUCCAGUAUGAUGAAUCAGGAGAGCUAUACAUGUUCUAUGCUAUUCUACCUGAGAGGGAGCAGCAGGAGUAGCUAGCUACUAGUUCAUGCUCUUAAUUAAUUAAUUAGUACUUGUCUCAUGUCCGUGUCCUGAACUUCGAUGUUGGUGAUGAUUAUGUUGAACUCGAUGAUAUCUUUGCUUCUGUUACAAAGUGAAUGUUUCCUCUUUAAGCUAGCCAGUGUUGGUGAUGAUUAGAUAGCUAGCGGUAAUGACUAUGAUGAUUAAAUAGUGUGGUAUAUAUAAUUAGACGACUACGAUGAUUUUUAGCUAGCUAGAGUUUAUUUAUUUAUUAAUAUGCGAUGAUGAUGAUGACGACGACGACUACAACUCAUUAUAACGUAAAACAAUCCUAAAUUAAAUUAAUAACACAAAUUUAAUUGAAAAAUAAAAAAUAAAACAAAAACAUUUAGUACCGGUUGGUGUUACCAACCGGUACUAAAGGGCUCCCGGCCCCCGGAGCUGGCUCGUGCCACGUGAUUGCCCUUUAGCACCGGUUCGUGCUGAACCGGUACUAAAGGGGGGGGGGCCUUUAGUGACCACACUUUAGUGCCGGUUAUGUAACCGGCACUAAAGGGCCUUACGAACCGGUGCUAUUGCCCGGUUCUGCACUAGCGCCAUUUCUAACCCUCUUUCUCUUCACAUUAGAUGUUGUUCGGCAUAGGAUCCAACCGCUCGCCCAAGCGCACUUAGCAGAUGGGCUGCAUGUAAUUUCGGCCCAGCUACUCUAUAUUUAUCCUUCCUUUCUCUGGGCAGACUCAAAUGUUUUUUUAAAUCAUAAUUUUUAAACCUUUGCUGCAAAUCUAACGUGUUAUAUAUGAAAAUCCCUCAAAAAAUGUGUAGAUUUCAAAUAUGUUAUUAUCUCGCAUGCUAAUGAUUUCUAAAAUUGCUUUAGGAAGCAACCUUAAUUCAUAUUCUCUCCAUACGGGGUAGUAUAUAAAUUGGUUUCCUGACACGAGCUUUAUGUUAAUCAGUGGCUUAAGCUGAUUUUCCUAUUCUUAAGAAUUAUGCCCAUAAAGAUUUUUUUUCCUAAGGAAAUUGUUUGCUUAUGUUGCCACAUGUGUGUAUGAGGGAUGGGUUUUUUUCUCCCGUUACAACACACGACAUCUUUUGCUAGUAUAUAAUCGUUGGUGUUGUGUGUGAACAAGGGUACCAAUAGCACGGAGAACCAAACCGUGAUUGGAUAGCUAGGACCGUCAUGUUUGCUCACCUGCUGCCAUUGUGGGUAUAUUAAUAUCAACACAGUACUAACAAUCAUUCCGCUUUGUGUCCAUCCGUUUUGCCGAAUAUUUGCUGCUCGAUACCAACGUGCCAAUUGCCAAGUACUCUUGAUACAUCCGUUCGAUGUAGUGAAGCACAAUUAUUUUUGUACUCUGCACCGGCCGAUAGAAUUAAGAGAGGAUGGCAGCACGUCUCGUCCGCCACGCUUCUGUCCACGAUGACGAGGCAACGGUACUCGAAAUCGAUGUGGAUAGUGUGCGCGAUCUGGGCAAGCCUCCAGGCCACCUGUUCCAAGAAGUCGGUCUCGUCUGGCUAUGGAGGAUGCCGGGACGUAGGGGCCGCUGCAACACGUACUACCUUGUAACAAACCAAACAGAGUCCUCCAGNNNNNNNNNNNNNNNNNNNNNNNNNNNNNNNNNNNNNNNNNNNNNNNNNNNNNNNNNNNNNNNNNNNNNNNNNNNNNNNNNNNNNNNNNNNNNNNNNNNNNNNNNNNNNNNNNNNNNNNNNNNNNNNNNNNNNNNNNNNNNNNNNNNNNNNNNNNNNNNNNNNNNNNNNNNNNNNNNNNNNNNNNNNNNNNNNNNNNNNNNNNNNNNNNNNNNNNNNNNNNNNNNNNNNNNNCUUCUGAUGUAUUAGUACAAUGAAAAUCAGUAAUAAUAAAAGUUACAUCCAAAUCCUUAGACAACCUAGCGAUGACUACAAGUAUUGAAGCGAGCUGAAUACACGCCACCGUCAUCGCCGCUCCAUUGCUAGAGUCGGGCAUAACUUAUUAUAGUAGACAGUCAUGCUAAUUUUGAAAGAUAACACAUCGUAGGUAUAUAGUCGUGUGCACUCCAAUCAAUGCACGGAAGGCUAAGCUGGCAAGAAGACAAAAUCGUGUGCCGAUUGCAGGCAUGACAUCAUGCUUAUCUCAACAGGUGAAUAAGUUGUCGAUCCCUCGAUUGAUAUAUUUACUUGGAAACAUGUAUGUGCGUUGCAAUAGAGAAAAACGGCAUGCCCCUAAUCCAACAAAAAAGACAUGUUGCACCACCACUUUUUCCUAACCGCAAGACAUGUUUUAUUUUAAUGCUCAAGGAAAGAAAAACAAUCUCUCUAGCCCUCAUCUGAUAAUCUACCAUGUAGAUAUUUUAACAUUAUUACCCUCCGUUCCAAAACAGAUGACCCAACUUUGUACUAACUUUCUAGUCAUCUAUUUUGGAAUGGAGGGAGUACAACAUAGGCUGGUCAUCUAUAUCUAUACCUACUAAUAAAGGGAUUAAUGUUUCUGCCUAUCCUUCCUAAAAUUACCCUUGAAGUAGCCAUAAAUUACCCACUAUGCCACCCAUAAAUUAAACGAUUCGUAUUUUUCCUUCACAUGUUGUGUGCGCUUUAGUUCAUUUAAUAAAACCCCUCAAGUGUCAUAAGAACUGAAGCAGUGCAAUGGCUAGAGCCAUAGUCUUACAUAAGGCAGACCCGGGUUUGAUUUUGUUUUCUCCCCGUUUUUAUCCCUGUUUCUCUUCACAAUAGAUGUUGUUCGGCAUAGGAUCCAACUGUUCGCCCAAGCGCACUUAGCAGAUGCGCUGCAUGUGAGUGAUCUUCUCUUACCCAAAUCACCAGCAAAAUCAGAAUCAACAAAACCAACAAGUCCAUCUCCAGUUUUCCCAAACUGUAAGUAAGCAUUAGAAGUACCUCGCAGGUAUCUGAAAAUCCACUGAAGUGCUCUCCAAUGCUCUUUUCCAGAAUUAGCCAUGUAUCUACUGACAACACUGAAUACAUAUGAUAAAUCCGGACGAUAACAAACCAUGGCAUACAUAAGUGAACCAACUGCACUCGAAUAGGGAACUCUAGACAUGUACUCAAUAUCCGCAUCUGACUUAGGACAUAAAACUGAUGAUAAUUUGAAGUGUGCAGCUAACGAAGUACUCACCGGCUUGUCAUUAUGUAUAUUAAAACGACGAAGAACUUUAUCAAUAUAUCCCUUCUGACUGAGAUACACUUUUCCAGAUGGUCUAUCUCUGGAUAUUUCCAUGCCAAGUAUUUUCUUUGCUGCACCCAAAUCCUUCAUCUCAAAUUCAUUACUCAAUUGCUUCUUUAGUUCAUUAAUCUCUGACAUACUCUUUGCAGCAAUUAGCAUAUCAUCAACAUAAAGGAGCAAAUAAAUAGUUGAACCUUUGACAAUUUUCAAAUAAACACAACUAUCAUAGUUAGACCUUUUGAAACCUUGAGAGAGCAUAAAGGUGUCAAAUCUCUUGUACCACUGUCUCGGGGAUUGCUUCAAUCCAUAAAGAGAUUUCUUUAACUUACAGACAAACUUUUCUUUUCCAGGAAUAACAAAACCUUCAGGUUGUUCCAUAUAAAUAUCCACUUCUAAUUCUCCAUGUAAGAAUGCAGUUUUAACAUCCAAUUGUUCAAGCUCAAGAUCAUGCAUGGCAACAAUACUGAGUAAAGUGCGAAUAGAGCUAUGCUUCACAACAGGAGAAAAGACUUCAUUAUAGUCAAUACCUGGAAUCUGACUGUAACUUUUACCAACUAACCUUGCUUUAUAUCUUGUCUCAUCAUUAGGAGAAACACCUUCUUUCCUCUUGAAAACCCACUUGCAACGAAUAGGUUUCUUCUCUCUAGGUAAUCUUACUAAAUCCCAAGUGUCAUUCUUUUCAAGUGAUUCCAUCUCAUCAUGCAUAGAGGUCAUCCACUUAUUACUAUCACUAGAAAUAAUAGCCUCGGAAUAUGAAAAAGGCUCAGCGUUAUCUUCAAUUUCUUCUGCAAUAGAUAAAGCAAAAGAAACAAUAUUGCACUCUUCAAUUAACCUGUCAGGUUUGUUAGUACCCCGCCUAACUCUGUCACGUGCAAGAUUCCAACUGGGUGGAACAAUAGGCUGAUUUGGAGUGGGAGUGACAUUAUCAUCAUUAACGACGGGUUCAUCAUGUGCAUCAACAAUUUCAUUACCAGAUGUAUCACCUGAAUCAAUAACAUGCUCCACCUGAACAGUAGGCUCCUGAACAAUAGGCUGUUGUUCACUCUCAACGGGAACAUUAGUAGAUGAAACAUCAUGUAACAUAGAAGAUUCAUUAAAGAUAACAUUUCUGCUAAUAACAACCUUCUGGGUUUCAGGAUUCCAUAAUUUAAAACCUUUAAUACCAGACUUAUAACCAAGAAAGAUGCACUUAACAGCCCUAGGCUCCAAUUUUCCAUUAUCAACAUGAGCAUAAGCAGUGCAACCAAAAACUCUCAACUGUGAAUAAUCAGCAGGUGAACCAGACCAUACUUCAAUUGGAGUUUUCUUAUUAAGAGCAAUAGACGGUGAACGGUUAAUGAGAUAACAAGAAGUGGAAGCGGCCUCAGCCCAAAAACGCCUAUGCAAACCUGCAUUGGACAACAUGCAACGGGCUCUGGAAAUAAUGGUCCUGUUCAUACGCUCAGCAACACCGUUUUGUUGAGGAGUAUAAGGAAUGGUGUAAUGUCUGACAAUGCCUUCAGACUUGCAAUAAUUCUUAAAUUGCUUAGAACAGAAUUCCAUACCAUUAUCAGUGCGAAGUAUCUUUACCUUCUUUUCAGUUUGUCUUUCAAUCAUAAUCUUCCACUCCUUAAAUGCUGAGAAUGCUUCAUAUUUAUGCUUCAAGAAAUAAGGCCAAAUUUUUCUCGAAUAAUCAUCAAUAAUAGUCAGCAUGUAACUAGCACCACCUAGUGACUUCUUGCGAGAUGGUCCCCAUAAAUCAGAAUGCACAUAAUCAAAAAUACCUUCGGUUGUAUGAGUCGAAGUGUUGAACUUCACCCUCUUGUGCUUGCCGAAGAUACAAUGCUCACAAAAUUUUAAUUUACCAGGUUCAUAUCCAUCAAGAAGACCUCUCUUAUUUAACUCUGCCAAACCAAGUUCACUCAUAUGUCCAAGACGCAUAUGCCAAAGGUUAGCAGCAUCACAAUCAGAAUUCUUACAAAUAACUGAAGUAGCGUUACCUGAAACGGUAGAACCUCGAAGGUAAUAAAGACCAUUGGUCGAACUUAAAUCACCUUUCAUCACAAUAAGGGAACCUUUGGUGACUUUCAAAACACUAUCUCCACCUGAAUACUUGUAUCCCUUUGCAUCAAGGGCACUCAUAGAAAUAAGAUUUCUCUUCAUCUUCGAAAUAUACCGAACAUCUGUCAAAGUUCUGAUUAUGCCAUCAAACAUCUUGAUUCGAAUAGAACCUAUGCCUUCAAUCUUGCAUGGUGAAUUAUCAAAACCCAAAACGGAACCAGCAGAAGUAGUGGAAUCAAAAGUAUUAAACCAAUCUCUAUGUGGACACAUAUGAAAAGUGCAUGCAGUGUCAAGUACCCACUCAUCAUUGGUCUCACCACAUCCAGCAAUAACGACAAGAGCAUCAUCGGAACUAUCAUCACGAGCAACGUUAGCAAAAUUUUCACCUUGUUUGUUACCUUUCCUCUUUUCCUUGUUCUGCAACUUGAAACACUCAGAGAUGUCAUGCCCGUCUCUUUUGCAAUACCUGCAAUACUUCUUGUCUCUGGAUUGCGACCGGCCCCUGUAGCCGUUCUUACUUUUGCCUCUGUUUCCAUUAUUGGAGUUCUUCUCCUUUGUCCUGCCACGAACAGAUAAUCCCUCUGCUUGGGAUGAACUUGAACCAUCAUGGGGCACCAUUAAUUUCAUCUUCUCCUUAGAGUUCAAAGCUUCAUAAACUUCAUUAAGCGUGAGAGUAUCACGACUGUAUAAUAUGGUGUCUCGAAAAUUGGUAUAAGAACUUGGCAGUGAACAAAGUAACAUUAGAGCAUUAUCUUCCUCUUCAUACUUAACCUUCAUUGCAGCUAGAUCAGAUAUGAUCUCUUUAAAUUCUGAAAUAUGAUUCAAAACAUUACCUCCCUCGGGUAACCUGUGCAGGAAUAAUUUUUGCUUCAGAUGCAUCUUGCUGGUGAGAUCUUUAGUCAUGCAAAUCCCUUCCAGCUUUAACCAUAGAGCGGCGGCAGUUUUUUCGCUCAAAACUUCCUGCAAAAUAUUAUUAUGCAAAUGGAGUUGAAUUUGUGACAAAGCCUUACAAUCAAUUCUUUUCUCCUCAGCAGUCCAGUCCUCAAUUCGGUUUUUCCCAAAACUAUCUAGUGCUACAUCAUAGUCAGCCUGUGCCAACAACGCCCGCAUCUUGACUUGCCAUAGGAUAAACCUUGUGUCACGAUCCAACAGCGGAAGAUCGUACUUCAUGGAUGCCAUGAGUAGAUAAAAUCUGUGCACAAAGUAGUACAAGCUGGUAGAAAAAAUUCUUAACAGAAUUUAAUAUGCGGAUCAAACUGAGCAAGGAACAGUAGCACCUGGUAGAUUCGUAGUGGACGAAGCAAGGAUCAGCCAACUAGUACUAGUACUCCUGUACUCCUGUAGCCUUCACGUGAGGUAGAGGGUGCUUGGAUUCAAGGGACUAUUUUUAGUCUGACUAAAAAUAGUCUUUUUUAGAGGCUAAAGUUCCAAGCACCCCUGACUAAAGAGAGGCUAGGACUAGUCUUGAGGCUAAAAAAUUUUAGUCAUAGGAAACCUACUAAAAUAUGUAUUAGCCCUCUCUCUCCUCAUUUAAUUCCUCUCCUUUAACACAUGCGAGUUCUGGAUUGGAGGAUUUGGAGGAUAAUAAAUGCUCAAUAACUUGAUUUUAGUCUCUUUAGUAUUUGGAUCCAAGCAUGGGUGAGACUAGCAAGUUUUAGUCCCACUACUUUUAGUCAUGGGACUAAAACGUAUCCAAGCACCCUCGUAGUACUACUUGGCUCAGUUGAGACGAAGCAGCGAUGACAAAGCAGUGGAUCACUGUUGCCUUGAUUUUCCUCGGGAGCAGCGGCGACUUCGGGUAGAUUUGACGCGAAGCAGGAGAAAACAAAUCGAUCUCUUCACAUGGACGUGGAGAAGUAGUACAAUCGAUUAGGCUGAUCGUAAUGGCAGUAUCAUAGCUAGUGUCAUGCAUGCCAACUAGACAAUUUUGAUGAUGCGUCAUAGCAUUAAAUGAAGAAAGAGAGGGUGUAGUAUCAUAUCAUGAUACCGUAUCAUAUUAAAUGCUAUGAUAUUUUGUGUCAUGCAUGGCAAUAAAUAAAAUACUACAUGAUACUAAUAUAUGAUACUAUGCAUUAGGAAGGUAGUAUCAUAUGCAUGAUACUAGUAUAUGAUACUCCCCAUUACAACCAGCCUUAAUAUAGCGUGAGUAGUACUAGCAGCAACAACGCGUAAUCUCCUCGGUACUUGUUGCGCCUCGGCUGUUGGCUCUUCACGCGUGGACGCGUACGCACGCGACGGCAGCAUACGGCGAUUGCUUCAGAUAGCGGUGGAAAAAAGAACACCUGUCGAACUCGGCUUGGCUCAGUGGAAAUUGAUCCGAGGACGGUUCGACGGAUCGCCAGAAGACGCGUGCUGCGGCGCGCAUGACAGAACCCUAAUUCUCUCGUCCCAAAAAACUCGUAUCUGAACCUCAGCUCUAUGUACCACUUGUUAGAUAAUAACGAAAAUAAACGAGACAGAGAGACACAAAUUUUACGUGAAAACCCUUACGAGAGAAAACCAUGGACGCACGAAGGCGCGAUCACUAUGAGAAGGAGUAUUACAAGCACGAGACGACAGACCGUAUGAGGUGCGACUACAUGGGGUAUAUAUGAGGGGCAAUACAUGAGAGUCCUUGGAGGACAAGUAAACGAGUUGUACUUGUACGCGUCGGUACCAACGCAGGCCCACACCGUAUGUACUACGUCUAGUCCAAUACGGUACUAGAAUUUGAAUCACAAUUUAACAAUCUCGAUACAUAUGGUCGACCACAUGUACGUAUUACUGCAUGAUUCGUUGUCUAUCUGGUGUGGUUUUUUUUUUUCAAUUCCCUGACAGCUACCAGUGUUGUCUUUUUUCAGACUGAUGAAGAGGAAUCAGACUCGGAACAGACCAAACAGGAGUUACUAGCAGCCUCCUCUUUGGAUCAUACUACCAGUGUUGGUACGUCUGCUCAGGUAAUCGACGACAACAACGAGGAGGAAGAAGAAUCGGACUCUGAUAAGACCGAACAAAAGGUGUGUAUUUACUUCACUCCAAUGAGGUUUCUUUCUCUUUCCGGUUCCUGUAAUCGGCCCUCUUCAUUCAAACUCCCUUCUUUCUUUUGCAGUCCGACCACGAAGAUGAGAACCGUCCCGGACCUCACGUAACAGAAAGCAGCGAUUACAUCGCCGGCACAUCUCCUCCGGUGCCCGCGCAGCGACAGGCAUGGAGGCGGUGGGAGUGCUUCGCUUGCCUGAACUCAGGCAGCAGCAGUUCCCGCUGCACCUGCCACAGCAGGUUCAAAGCAAUGUGGCGGUUCAGGGCAGGGGAUGGGUCGUCAGGAAGCAUAGGAUGAUAAUGAGGCUGCUCAGCCCUGAGUGAUAACGUUGCUGUGCUGAAUGAUCAGUUAAACUGCAGUACUGUUAACGUUGCUGUUGUUCCUGCUGGGUUUUGUAAUAAUAAUAGGAUAUGGUCAGCCAGGUUUUUUGCCCCGUAGUCUGUGUCUAUGCACAGCGGGUUUUCCUGGCUUUUUGCUAGAAUCCUGUUUCCCAAUUUCCUACUUCACUUUGUUAAUACUUGUUGUUUUCUAUAAUGCUGAGUGCUGAAAAGUGGCAUUUGUCCAAUCCUAUUUCCCAUUUUCCUUGUUAAGGCUUCUUCGUCUUUAUUAAAACUGCAUGUUAUUCCUGCUAUUUGGUUUGUAAUAAUAGGACAAGUAUGGUUCACCAGGUUUUUUGCCCCGUUGUCUGUGUCUAUCGUCAUAAUCCAGGUUUGCAUCGACAGCGAGUUUUCUUGGCUUUUUGCUAGAAUCCUAUGUUCCAUUUUUCUACUCCACUCUGUUAAGAAUUGUUGUUUCCAUUGUGCCAAGUACUGAAAAGUAUCCUAACAUGAUAGAUGAACUUGUUGUUUCCAUUCUCUAUGAUGCCGAGUAAUGAAAAGUCAUGCCCAGUCCUAUUUUCCACUAUCCUUUUCAUUACUUUGUUAAGACUUCUUUUUCUUCCAUAUUUUUAUAAGAAAGGAGAAAACUGUAGGAGAGGCUCUCUCCGACAGUAUAAAUACAGUGCGCAAGGACACCUCUUCUCUCGGACUCGGUUGUUAAGGCAAGUGGGAAAUGCCAACAUUGAAUUCAUGGUUCCAUUCCAUACAGCCAAGGUUCGUCCUACUGAAGCUGUUGAGCUGCACAAUCCAGGCUCUACCUGCUCAGGUAAGGUACUACCAUAAUUAGGAUGGAUUCCUAAUGUUGGCAAAGCAAAGAAAAAUGAAGCAGGUCCAGAAACCUCACACCAAUGCGUCGCAGCAAGCAAAAUAAAUGAUGCAAGUCAAGAUCCAAAACAUAUCUGCAGGACAUAAGAGCUCACUUACGUAUCGGAUGGUGAUGCCGACGCCGCGGGCGACGAGAGCUUCGCACGCUNNNNNNNNNNNNNNNNNNNNNNNNNNNNNNNNNNNNNNNNNNNNNNNNNNNNNNNNNNNNNNNNNNNNNNNNNNNNNNNNNNNNNNNNNNNNNNNNNNNNNNNNNNNNNNNNNNNNNNNNNNNNNNNNNNNNNNNNNNNNNNNNNNNNNNNNNNNNNNNNNNNNNNNNNNNNNNNNNNNNNNNNNNNNNNNNNNNNNNNNNNNNNNNNNNNNNNNNNNNNNNNNNNNNNNNNNNNNNNNNNNNNNNNNNNNNNNNNNNNNNNNNNNNNNNNNNNNNNNNNNNNNNNNNNNNNNNNNNNNNNNNNNNNNNNNNNNNNNNNNNNNNNNNGUCCUACCCUGAUAGUAGAGCAUGUCAACCAUCCAUGUUCGUCUAUCUAUCUAUAUAUUAUUAGUUACUACUCCAAAGCAACUUGUGUUGCUAUAUAUUAGUACCGUCUGUAUAAUUGUUGGUUGGGCUAUUUUACCACGACUAAUGGAUUAACGUUGUUUUUAUGAGAAAUUGCUCUAGUGAUUCGGCCCGAGUAGAUUUACUCCUUGUAAAAAAAGAACUUGUUCUAUGGAAUGAAAGAUUCAUCAACCUAUAAAAACAAAUGGUGCCCGCAAUUAAUUGGCUCUGCCGUUGGCAUUGGCGUUGUCUACCGGACAACCAUGUCAUUGGUCCUCCACGGCAAAGUGCAAGUGCAAUUAAAACUUGGUUCAUUUUGGAUAUGCUUAUUUCCAAACUUACUAACCGCUAGGCCAGGCAAACACACAGCCGCACGAGCAAAAAUCAAAUCAAACAGAACACCAAAACAUGGUGAUAAAGGUUCUUGCAUGCAAGUCACAAGAAGAUUUUAUUACUGGACAUCAUUGUCUAUUGUUUGGCAUGAUGCUAGACUGCAACUCUAGUGACAAAUGACGCAAUGACAAUGGCGGUAAAAAAAAGUGCCGGCGCAUCUAGCUUUCCUGACAUUGUCCCAGUGACGCGCAAACGAAAUAGCAUUUGAAAUCCAGGCACAGUAUGUCUAGGAUAGGUGUAUUCCUCUCCAUGCAAUACUCUGUAGACAACAUACAUUCGUUAGUAAAAGAACUCCGAAUUAAAAGGGUUCAAAGAAAUUCGUGCGGUUGAGUUGACAAUAUUCAUGACAGCUUUUUCUACAUACUCCGGUCGGAAGGAAAAAGGAAACACACACACACAUAGAGGAACAGGGAGCUUGAUUAUGUACCAGCGCAGGCGGAAUUUCCUAGCAGCACAAGCACCAUGAGGCAAAGCAGAAUAGUUUUGUCCCCCAUAAGAUACAGCAGAAACUUCUGCUUUGUCUCGUUUCUAGUAUUUGGGCUUCCUAGUUCUCUCAAAUAAGAUAAAAAAGAUAAAAAACAUUUAUAGACUUAUAAAGAACAUUUAUUCCUAGUUCUCUCAAAUAAGAUAAAAAAGAUCCCUGACCGCACUAUGUCGUAAGCUCUAUUUAAUAGAAUUAAACACGUGUUCAUAUAUAGCAGUCCCGGCGACCAUAUCUUAGUCAUGUAUCUAAAAACAGUUCCUAUUUGCCAGAGAAAACUUACGAGAUGCUAUGGAUUUUGUGCUAAUAUCUAUAUCUAGAUGAAGAUACGGAUGUUGUCUCUUUCGCCAUUAAAUGGGGUGCCGCAUCAAACUUUAGAUUAAGGUGGCCUGACUAACAUAUAAUACACGGCGUACUAGCGUGUUUUGUCCAUUUAAUGUGGUUCUACCUGUCUAUGGGGGAUGCUCUAAAUUAAUUCAUUUUUCACAUUGAAUGGUGAAUAUAUGUGACAUGAAGAAUCAAUCCUAUUGAAUACCCUAUCACUUCGUUUGAAUGUUGAUAUUCAAGCCUAGAUAUUGAUAUUGGCAUUGGAUAUCCCGAAUUCCGUUGUUUGGAUGGACAAGGAAUCGGUCCAAGGAAUUGGGCUGAAAUAUUUGAUGGCCCGCUCCGAAAGCCUGUGCCUCUAUCCCCAAAUUCGGAGGGGGAGAGCUCGAUUUUCGCUGAUAUUCGGGAAGCAGCCCGCGACUUGCCACUCCGACCACUCCAGAUAAGGAAGAGGCGCACUCGAGCGGGCGGGAGAGGAGGCGAGCACAGCGGCGACGCGGAGCUCCCGGCGGGUCCAGCAUGUCAGACCCCGUCCGCCGCCUCCUUCUUCCCUUUUCUCUCCGGCGGAUCCCUUGCUCCCCCGCGUGUGGCCACGUCCCCGUUCCUCCUUCCCUUCGACCCCGCACACCCAUCUUCAUGCGCGCUCGCCGCCCCUUUGGCCGCCGCCUACCCCAUCCGGUCCGAUUUGUCUGGAUCAACUCAUCCGCUAAAACCAACCUCGACGCAAACUUAGAAGCAUGGACUAGUCGAUUCGCCGAAUGUUCAUCAAACGGUUUUAAAAAAAAUCAUGACCUGUUUUUUUAAGGGUGUAACCUUUUUUUUCAGUUCAUCCAUUGUCAUCGGCGUUGGUUGGGCCUGCCUGGCCCAUUAGCAGGAGGGGUCGUUGGGCCCUCACGCGCCCCACACCGUGGCCACUCACUCACUCACACACUCCUCAGCGAACCAACCUCUGGUUGAGAUGGUUAGGUGGACAGUGGUAUCUCCAACCCACCAGGAUUCAAAUCCUGGUGCUCGCAUUUAUCCUGGAUUUAUUUCAAGAAUUCCGGCGAUACGCUUUUAGUGGGAGUAGACGUUCCCGUCGACUACGAGGCGCCUACGAUGACUUCGUAAAAUCUUAAGAUGAUAUGGCAGGUCAGUCUCUCGGAGGUGCUCAUAGGGGUAGAGUGUGCGUGUGUGCGUUCAUAAGGGUGAGUGUAUGCACGUGUAUAUGAGCGCGUAUGUGUGUACUCAUGCUUAAAAAAAAACUCACACGCUCCUCAUGUGGUGGACUCUCUCCUCAAAAAUUGAGUCUUUGCAAGUCCAGCCGGCGGAUCCAAGUUCCACUCCCCACUUCCCCCAACGCUCCCACGCUGCUCGCCGGCCGGCCGGCCAUGGCGGCGAUGCCGACGCCCCGAUCCCUCCUGCUGCUCCUCCUCCUCGCCACCCCCUUCCUCCUGCUCCCCCUCGCCGCCGCCGCCGCCUCAGUCCCCACCUCCAACCCGGACAUCGACCUCGAAUACCUCAUCAAGAACGCCGGCCUCGACGACGCCACCCCCAACGACCCCGAGGACGGCGCUCCGGACUUCCCCGACCUCGACGCCGACUACGAAGACGAGGACCUCUUCGGCGACGACGACGGGCCGGAGGAGGACUCCUCCCACCCCUCGGCGGCCGACGAGGCCCACGUGCUCCUCCUCACCGCCGCCAACUUCACCGCCGUCCUCGCGGCCCGCCGCCACGUGAUGGUCGAGUUCUACGCGCCCUGGUGCGGCCACUGCCGCGCGCUGGCCCCCCACUACGCCGCCGCCGCCGCCGCCCUCGCCGAGCAGGGCGUCGACGUGGCGCUGGCCAAGGUGGACGCUACCGAGGAGCACGACCUGGCGCAGGCGCACGACGUGCAGGGCUACCCCACCCUCCUCUUCUUCAUCGACGGCGUGCCCAGGGACUACUCCGGCGAGAGGACCAAGUGAGCAAUUUCUGCAGAUCCCCAAUUCCCUCCCUGCUCCGGCUCCGCAGCUGCUGCUAAGAAUUUUUGCUUUGCUGCAGGGACGCCAUUGUCGCUUGGAUCAGCAAGAAGCUGGGCCCUGCGGUGCAGAACCUCACCGCCGUCGACGACGCCGAGAAGGUCGUCACCGGCGACGACGUGGCCGUGCUCGCCUUCCUCGACCACCUCUCGGUACGCAAUGCGCCUUCUCCAGUGGCAGCAAAGUCAACCAAACCCAAAAUUUCUUCAAUUCCAAACCAUGUUACCCAGAUUGACCCAAGAAUACAGUUGUUGAAUCACAGCCAAACAGCUCAUGUGGCCAUCCAUGUUACCCCAAAUUAGUUCACCACAAAUACAAUGCACCUGUUCUUCUCAGUUCCCUGAAUAUUCUGAUGACUCACUGGAUGAAAUGUCAACCUGCAUGUUCUGUUACCAUGUGCUCAGAACAAAUCUGAGUUCAACUCGUAUGUUUAGCUAUCGGUACGCACUCAUGUGGCCAUGUUUGUUACCCCAAAUUUAGUUGACCACAAAUACAAUGCACCUGUAUUUCUGAAUGCCCUUGUUCUUUUGCUUGCUCACUACUAUGUACUAGUAGUAGAUAAAAUGUCAACCUACAUGUUCUGUUACCAUGUGCUGAGAACGGCUCCCGGAUGCGCUCAUAUGUUUAGCUAUCGGACACUUGCAUAUAACAUUGUGAUAAAAUCCUUAAUUACUCUAUCAUUGAAUGUUUUAGGGUGCUCAUAGUGAUGAGCUUGCUGCUGCUUCAUGAUCCAAAAUUACAUUUCGUCUGUUCCAUGAUUCCUUUGCUCACUACUAGAUAAAAUGUCAACCUGCAUGAUCUGUUACCAUGUACUGAAAACAAAUCCGAGAUGCGCUUGUAUUUUUGGCUAUUCUAAUUCUGCGCUGCAUAUAUAUAUACACUAUGGUGAUAAAUCAUUAAAUUACUCUUGUCAUCAAAUUAUAUAGGGUGCUCACAGUGAUGAGCUUGCUGCUGCUUCAAGGCUGGAAGAUACCAUCAGCUUUUAUCAGACCACCAGCCCCGAUGUAGCCAAGCUUUUCCACAUUGACCCGGAAGCAAAGCGCCCGUCAGUAGUCCUGCUCAAGAAAGAGGAGGAGAAGCUGACCGUAUUUGGUAUCUUCACCUCCGAGUUGCUUUGGCUUUCAGCGCCAGCCUUUCCUUUCCAUUUCUUUACACGUUUUGGUUUGACCGUUAAAUUGGAUAAUAAUGUACCGUGUGCCAUGCAGAUGGCGAGUUCAGAGCGUCUGCGAUUGCCGAGUUUGUGUCGGCCAACAAAAUCCCAUUGAUCACCACCCUCACACAGGAGACCGCCCCUGCGAUUUUCGAUAAUCCAAUCAAGAAGCAAGUAUGCCAUGCUGUCUGCCAUGGGGUUUUAUUUUCAUCAUACUGUCGACCCAUGUAUUACUCCUUCGCUGACCUGCUGUCUUCUAAUUUUGAAAUUAGAUUCUGCUAUUUGCUGUUGCGAAGGAGUCCUCAAAAUUUCUGCCCAUCAUUAAGGAAACAGCAAAAUCAUUCAAGGGGAAGGUAUUUUUUUCCUGUUGAUCGGACCAGUGUUUCAUGAACUUUUUCCUCUGUCAUGUUCCACGUUUUAUACUCAAAUCCAAGCCAUCACUUAUUUCCUUUCUAAUAACUUGUGUGUUUGCUGAGGUGGAGUCUCACUAAGCACUGAUGUGGCCUGUGUCUCAAAUGCAGCUUUUAUUUGUCUUUGUGGAGCGUGACAAUGAGGAAGUUGGUGAACCUGUUGCCAAUUACUUUGGAAUUACUGGACAAGAGACCACGGUAAUGGCUCUUAAUUUUGUUGCCAUGUUUAUCUAUCUGUUGAUUUAUUGUACAGAAGAACUAUAGAAUGCAAUAAUUUGACUUUGAUUUUAAUUUGUCUGCUCUUUCUGUUUUGUACAUCCUGAUUUGAUUACUUUGCAGGUUCUUGCUUACACUGGGAAUGAAGACGCUAAGAAGUUUUUCUUCAGUGGUGAAAUAUCACUGGACACCAUGAAGGUAAUUGCUUAAAAUAUUUUUUGCAAAUUCAGUACUCCCUCCGUCUGGAAAUACUUGUCCUAGAAAUGGUUGUAUCUAGACUUAUUUUAGUUAUAGAUACAUCCAUUUUAUCUGUUUCUAGGACAAGUAUUUUCGGACGGAGGGAGUACCAGAUUGGAAGUAAAAUCAUAAGAAUGUGGUCAACAGUUGCAAGAGAAUAUAGUAUGUUAGCAAUAUAUAAGCUGACGAACGUGUUUUUGCUUUUCGUUAUUUGAUGAUUUAUGCUGUUCUUUUUUAUACCGCGGUAUAUUUCUGCUUAUAUCGUGCUAUAUGUUGCUUCAGAAACUUUCAUGUCCAUGUAUAUUUUCUCAUCUUUCGCCAAACUAGCACUUGUCUCAUCAUUGCCGAUUCAUCAUUGCUGAAUGCUGAUGUUGAGGCUCUGCUAAUGUUAUUGGGUAGGAUGGUAUCAAGUACCAUUGUUCAAGAAAGUACAGUGUUCCUUAUAAAAAUCUUUCUACUUCUUGUUAAUACCCAGGAAUUUGCUCAAGAUUUCCUGGAGGACAAGCUCACACCAUCCUACAAGUCUGACCCAGUACCUGAAUCUGUGAGUGGAGAAGAAUUAUCUGAUAUCUCUUUUCCCUGUCAUUAUUUACACGACAAUGAGGCAUUCUUUGUGUUCCCGUGCAGAAUGAUGAGGAUGUCAAAGUUGUUGUUGGCAAGAGUCUAGAUCAAAUAGUUCUGGAUGAAUCAAAAGAUGUCCUUUUGGAGGUAUGUUCAGUUCUUGCCAGGUAGUAUUUGAGAAGAUAAAAAAUGUGUGUUGUCCAUAACGCCGUGCCAUUUUGGACGCAGGUAUAUGCACCAUGGUGUGGGCAUUGUCAGUCACUGGAGCCUAUCUACAACAAGCUGGCCAAGUAUCUCCGUGGCAUCGACUCCCUUGUAAUAGCCAAAAUGGACGGCACAAACAAUGAGCAUCCUCGUGCCAAGGUCUGUGUCGCUAUCUUUUGACUUCUUCAAACUGGAUAUUACUUGCUAGACUAGUCUGAGUGCCGGGCCAUCAACAGUCAUAGAACCUCUACAUACAUUUUAUAUGAAACAAUACUAGUUAUAAAACGUGUAGAAGUUAUUUCAACACUUUCCUCACUUGAAUGUGCAGUUGUACUUGUUUAUGGUGCACAGAAAGUAUAGGUCCAUUAUCUGUCUGCUGCCAUCUUACUCCCUCCGUCCCAAAAUAAGUGUCGCUGACUUAGCACAACUUUGGUGUCAGCGACACUUAUUUUGCGACGGAGGGAGUAUCAGUAUAUGAUAAAUAUAUUUAUUCUGCACCUAUUUAUCCAUACGCUACAGUGUCAUGGUACAGUUUGUCUAACGGGCUAAAGAGGUCGUAUGGCUAUUGUCAGAUUUGAAUCACAUGCUGUUAGGAGUUAGAGACAGGUUAAUUUGGGAAAUAGGUCGUAUUUGGCAAGACAGAUUUGGCUAGGAAGAUAGAGACAAGAGCUCGAGUCUUAUGGGACAAGUUGAGUUGAGCCUCAGAAACGAACACUGUCGCCAGGUUUGUUGAAGGAUGGCGCCAUGUCCCCCGGUUAUCUCGCUAUAGUUGGAGGCCCAUAACAUCUUGAAAUAGUGCAACAGUAUUUUUGAUGCAUAUAUAGUAUUAAAUGGCGCAUGGGGAAGCUCGCGCUCUUCUAUUUUUGGUGUGGCACUAUGAUUAUGACUGUUACAUUUUGAAGCUGCCUUUCAUUUAGCUCUGUUUUCCUUUUAAUUAUCUUUCCUGACUUGACACUUUGCUUCCUGUUACAGCCUGAUGGAUUCCCCACAAUACUCUUCUAUCCAGCUGGGAAGAAAAGCUUUGAGCCUGUAAGUGCUUACAUAUGUGAUGUUUCACUUCUUGCUUUGCAACACAUCUCUCUUACUACGAUUUUGCGAUUUGUCUUUCAGUUGGUAGCAAUCGCGUUAACCUCGCCCCUCUCCUUAAUAGGGCUUCUCAGCACAGCUAUCGUUAUGCUUUGCUAGAGCUGUCUCUAGACUCCUUAAACUCAGCUAAAACAUCCAUGUGAUUUAGCUGCUGAUUUGUGCAUGCUUAUAUCCCUGCAAAUUUUGUGUAUAUGCCUUUGUAGGUGCUUUACGAUUGGUCAUGCCCUGUGAUUUUGGGUAAUGGUGGUAGAUUCAGUGGACAGCUAGCUAAACUCAUGGGUGGAGCUUGAAUGGUGCUAUGGGAUUUUAGUCAACUGGUAACCUGAUAUACUAACUCAAUUUGCUGGCUGAACUCUUGUAGAUAACUUUUGAGGGGGACCGGACGGUGGUGGAGAUGUACAAGUUCCUCAAGAAGCAUGCCGCCAUCCCAUUCAAGCUGAAGCGCCCGGACUCGUCAGCGGCACAGACCGAUGACUCAAGCUCGACGGCCGAGGGCGAGAAGAGCUCCGGUUCGAACCCGAAGGACGAGUUGUAGGGGGAUUACUUACGCCAUUGACAACAAGUACGCGGUGCUGCUGUCAAAAGCAGGAGGUGGAGAACAAAUAGCUAGGUAUCAACUCGGGCCGCUGGAAGUGUAUGUUGUGAAUACGAAUAUUAGAAUAGAAUCCAUUAGAAGCAAGAAGUCCUUUGCUUACAUCUUGUUCCGUAUCUUCAAACUAGAUAUAUUCAUACUCAAAAUCUGAGAGAACCAAGGGUAGCCCACAGGUAGCUGGCUACAUACAUACAGUAAGAAAGUACGCCCCCCUGUAAACGUCUUGUAAAAGUUUACAGAGGGAGACGUGGAGUUUCUACACCCAGGAGCACAAAUGCUCCUGGUGUGAACAGUAAAAUCAAAAAAAAAUCUGAAAUUUAUUUGGGACAUACUUCCACAAAUGUUUGUGGUGCAUGCAAAAUUUCAUCACAAAAUCACAUUGGUGGAAGGCAUGGUAAAAAAAACAAAAUCGAUGCUCUGAAAAUGUUACUUACAAAAACAUUUUUGAGCUUUGAUUUUGCAUUUUUUGGCACGAUUUCUGCCAAUGUGAUUUCACGAUGAUUUUUUGCGUGCACGACAAACAUUUGUGGAAGUAUGUCACAGAAAAAUCAGAUUUUUUUUGAAUUUUCUAGAUUUUACUAUUCAUGCCAGCAUUUGUUCCUGGGUAUAGAAAGGCACUUUGGCCAAAGCACGGCAAGAUAGAGUGGAGUUAAGGAUGCGGAAGAAUAUGCGCGACAAUCAGCGCAUACAAAUAUGCACUGAAAAACUAUGGUUCACCAUACACUAAAAAAAGUUUAGUUUGUUAAAGGAAAUGUUCAUCAUAUAUUAAAAAUAGUUCAUCCUACAAUAAAAAGUUCAAUUUGUAUAAACAAAAUGAUUCAAAUGUUCAAACAUGUUUCCAUUUAAAAAAAUUGUUCAUAAGUUCAAAAAUGUUCAUGCUUUCAAAAAAUGUUUGGGAGUUUCAAAAAUAUUCUUCCAUUUCCAAAAUUUGUUCGUGUUUUUGGGAAAGUGUUUUUCAGCAAAUUUUCAGAAUUUUAAAAAAUCUUUUACUUUUUAAAAUAAUCCAGAAUUUCAAAAAGGGCUCACGUUUUCAAAAACAGUGGGUCAUAAAAAUAUGUGCAACACAAAUAUUGGUUCGCACUUUCAAAAUUAUUCACAAUUUUUCAAUAAAUGUUAAAAAAUGUUUCAGAUCUGACGCUGGUGUUAAACAUUCGCGUGUAUCAUUUGCCACCAACAGCCGAUACUUCUAUUGGCAGUAAGGACGGGCCGUAAAAUAUUUUUACGUCCUUGUCAAAGAAAUAGGGCUCAACUAUCAAAAAAAUUGUUUGGUUUUCUUAUAAUGUUCAAAAAAAUAACAAAUUAAGCUCAAGUAUUUCAAAAAAUGCUCACAUGUACUGAAAUGCUUGAAACAAUUUUUGUGUUUUUAAAAAUUGUUAUCAAAUGCUAAUCAUCUCUAAAUAACUGUGAAACACGUACUGGACUAGGGAAAAAGAAACAAACAAGUAACAGGCACAGAACCAAUUCAACUAGCGACACUACUUCAGCAAACAGAACAAGUAACAAAUGCAAAGCACAGCAAAAAUCAGAAUGCAAAUAAGAAUCAGGCAACACAAAUCGCAGGCAUAAAUAAAAGGCAUUCAUCAGCUGUAAAGUCUUCUCUGCCAAAUAUAUAAACAGGGAACUGUCGCAUCAUCUCGGUAAAACCCUCAAGCAUCCGCAGACUGUCAGCCACCGCAGGUUCGCUACCACUACUUACUACCAACAUGUAAUAAAAAGCCAGGCAUGACAUAUCCCACAUCCAACAAGCGUCUCUGCGCACUAGUAUCGCCAACCGACAACACACGCAUGUUUCUCGAUGCCAAAAAGACACUGCCAACACUUAACCAGAGUUUUUUGUCCUGCUGAUGAUCGCAAAACCAUCGGUCACGAGGGCGGGCUCAGGGGGCGUUCACCGGUUCCCGUUCAUCUUGGCCAUCAUCUUGGCUAUGAUGGGCCCCACCUUCGGGUUCGCCUGGUGCUUGGUCAAGUUGGCAGGGUUGCUCAUCACUGCACCAAACAGAGGGUCAGGUCACUGCAAAGGAAGUAUCGAACAAGAACAACAUAGGCUAAAGCAGCUAAAGAAAACAACCCUAAAGCAGCAGGCAUAUAAGCAGAGAUUACAGUUCUUGUGAGCAUUAUAUCCAAGUUUAGAUAUUACAAUUUGUAUAAGCCUUAUAUCCAAGUUUAAGAAUACGCAAGGUUCAAAGAUUUAGUGUAGCUCAUAUAAAAUGGUACCUCCCAUCUAAAUAUUUGAGCCAUGCAAUACUACCCUGACGAGUAAGAAAGUACAGGACCAGAACAAUGUAGCCUACAGCAGUUCUCACACACAACCCUAAAGCAGCAAAUACAUCGUGAUACAAGCAAACGGUUAUGUCCUAACAAUUAGAACUUUCACUAGACAUGGAUGCAUACAAGGAAUGUUGAUACCAUGAGUACUAACCUGAACUAUUAGAAUAUAUCUACUAAUCUAGUAGUAUAAGAAUAAAGAUAUCGUCAAACGCAUCACAUAAAGUGGCCUCUAGUGAUAAAAAAUUAUCUGCCGCACCAGAUUUCAGGAUUGAGCAUACAUCACUAGCAUGCUUGCAUGUUCAGAAUAUUCAAUCAAACUAAUCCGCACCUUGCAUAACUCACCAAAUAUGCCCACUGUACUCCAAAAACAGACUAAAUACUCCCUCCGUUCGGAAAUACUUGUCGACAAAAUGAACAAAAAGGGAUGUAUCUAGAUGUAUAUUAGUUCUAGAUACAUCCCUUUUUAUCUAUUUUGAUGACAAGUAUUUUCGGACGGAGGGAGUACUAUGCAAAGAAAUAUGUUGCACUUAUGACCACUGCUAUUAUUAAGAGAAAUUUAUAUUCAAUCAGCUGUUUUCCAGCACCAGGACUUGACCAGGAAGAUCAACUACAACAGGCAACUGUACUAUAAAGUAAAUGGGGAUUAGAGAACUAUUUGAGUAGAAAACUGUACCAUCUUGAAGGGCCGCCAUAACCUCUGGGUCACCAAAUGCUGCCAUCAGGUCAGGGUCCUGUUUCAAAGAGAAGAAAGAAGAACAUUGUGUAAAACAGGUUUCUCCAGUAUCAAGAGUUAUGGUUACAAGGAAGACAGGCAGACACUGGGCAAGCACUUACAUUCAAGAUGUCACCCAUAUCAACAUUCCCAGGAGCACCUCCAGCUCCAGGCAUACCACCUCCCAUUCCUCUGCCACCGCCCAUUCCAGGCAUACCACCUCCCAUUCCUGCGGGCAUACCGCCCCCCAUUCCUGCGGGCAUACCUCCACCCAUUCCUGCGGGCAUACCUCCACCCAUUCCUCCAGGGAAACCACCCCCCAUUCCUCCGGGGAAGCCACCAGGCAUUCCACCCAUGCCUCCUGGGAAUGGGAAGCCACCGGGCAUUCCACCAGGCAUGCCUCCUGAAGAGCGGCUUGAUGAUUGCUCCUUCCUCUUGGCCUUCUCAUAAGCAGCCUGUCAAAAACACAAGCCAUUGAGCUUCAGUAUGAAUCCUAAACAGUAUCCCUGGAAAGCUCCUACCACAAGUGGAAAAACUAGUAUGAUGAUGAACCCACCUGUGCCUCGGCACGGCGACGAAGCCUGUCACGCUCAGCUUUCUUCUCCGCCCUCUCUUUCCUCAGCCUGUCAUACUUCCUGCGAUGCUCCACUAUCUUGUGUGCAUUAGGCUCCACCUGCAAGGUCACCAGCAUCAGUAUCAUUGAUAUGAGCAUAUGCGUUGUGUCCAAACAUAUAGAUAGGACAUAGUUGAUGCAACAACAUCCCACCUUCUUGAGCACAGCAUUGAUCUCAUCAUCAUAGUCAAUGUUUGACGCGGCAUGCAGAUCACGAGCAGCUUCCUCCCACUUGCCAAGCAUAGCAUUAGCCAUUCCACGGGUCUUGUAGCCCUUUGCGGAGUCUGGGUUGAUCUGAAAGAAAUACAUAACAGAAGGACGGGUAAUAUCAGAUAAAAGAGCAUCAUGCCCUGUUUGCAAUCAACAUAAAUGCUGUAUACUUAACCCAUCCCUUUACACUCCAGAAACCUCUGCAUCUAGACCGCAUGUAUGGUGCAUGAGACAGAACAGGGCAGUAAAAUAAAGGGACAGAAAGGGAACAGAAUCAUCACCUCUAGAGCAGCAUUCGCAUCACGGAUGGCAGCAGCAGGCUUCUUCAUUUUGAUAAACACAGAUGCUGCACAAAACACAAGGAUUCCACAACCCAGUCAGGUGCUGCUAGUUACAUGGGCAGCAAGUAAAUGAAGUUUUGCUGACAGUGGAUUCAACCGACAUAAGGAAUGUUUCUGUAGAGCAACAAGAGGAGAGAAUGCAUGAGCGGCAGUCACAUCAUUUAUACCUCUGGUACCGUACAUGAUUGCCGAGGUUGGAUUCAGCAGUAUAGCCUUGGUGAGGUGCUCAAUGGCCUCUUCCAGUUUCCCUGACAAAUUAUAGUAGCACAGAGCAACAGAUUAGAGAGUGUUCUACCUUCUGACAUAGGCAAACAACAAGUCAAGAGUGUGUACUACCUUCUGACAUUGCUUCCAUUGCCUGGCCCUUUGCUUCCUGGGAGGCGUCACGGCUCUCCUCGGUCACCUCGACGGAAGAGUCUCCCAUCUGUCAAACAAAAAUCAGCGCAUCGGUCAAGGGAUGUGCUAAGAGCAGAGAGACAGCUGUAUUGAAGAAGUGAUCGCGCACUAGAAGAAGCUACUACAUUAUGCAGAACUGGACUAGAACAGGGCAGUGAAGCUCGACAAAUUGUGAAGAAGAAGAAGAAGAAGAAAAAGGAGCUUCUUUGGUAAUAGUAAAGCUAGACUAGAACAGGGCAGUGGAGUGUGAUUAAAAAAUUAUAGUACAAGAAAGCAUCACAAUCCUGGGUUGUCAAAAUAGAGCACUGUGGCAGAAGAAAGCAGCAUGAUCCCGGGUUGUCAGGUAGCAACGGUCUAGAGCAAGGCAGCGAAUUUGACAUGGAAAGUUGCCAGAGGAUUAAAGAAGCGUACGAACAUGGUUAAGAACAACUAGACUAGAACAGCGACAGGGCAGUGAAGAUUGACGAACUAUUUGAAGAGAAAAAGAGCAUCCUUGGUUGUAAGGUAAUGAUGAAAGAUCUAGCAACUUGAGUGUAACUAAUUAUGGAAGAAAACAGCAUAAUCCUGGGCUGUAAGAUGACUACAAUCUAGCCAUCUAGUGCAAGGCAGCAGGAUUUCGCCAGAGGAAGUUGUCACAUUUCCUGAAGCCGGUCAGUCUACUGUGAUCCCGCGGCGGGGCCAAGAACAGGAGCAGUAACUAGUGCUUGCUGUGAUGCGAGUUGACCGCGAAUCUGGACUAGCAGAGCAGAACGAAGCAGAGGAUGGGGGUGAACAGAACAGGGGACCUUCUGGGGCGCGUCGUCGUGGUCGGGGUGGACGACGCCGUCGUCGUCGAGCUCGAGGUCGGACUCGACGAUCUCCUCGUCGAGCUCGUCGGGCUCGGGGGUGGGGUCGCGCAUGUCCUGGUCGUCCUCCUCGUCGUCGUCGUCGUCGUCGAUGUCGUCCAUGGACCUCGCCUGCCGGUCCAAAUCCAACCCAGUAAUCAGAUCGGACAAACAAGGAAAGGGAACAGAGGAUCGGGGCCGGGGAAGGGGCGGAAGAUCGGACCUUGGGCGCGGGCUUGGCGGCGGCGGCGGGGAGGGUGGCGCCGAGGGAGGCGAGGUAGUCGCGGAAGAAGGCGAGGGCCGGGUCGGCGAGGAGCGCCGGGUCCUUGUUGCACGCCUCCACGAAGGAGCGCAGCUCGCCCAGCUUGGACGGAUCCAUGGCCUCUCUGGAGGUCUCGCUAGGGUUAGGGUUUCUCCUCCCUCCCUUCCUUCCUCCUUGGGGCUCCCUGGGUUGGGUGCAAGUGGGGAAGUGGGGAAUGGGUCUUAUCACACGGAGAGGAGAGGAUAUGGACCGACAUCCAUAUCUUCUACUAUUAAAGGAGGAUCCAACGUCGUGAUGGUUCGACCAACCGUACUUGAGUAAUGGUGCAGCUUAAAUGUUUGAAGGAAGACUUGGUUUGAUGCCUCUACGCUAGCUGAAUAUAUUUUUAAUCCUGCUACCGAAUAAUUACAUCAUACUUGGAGAAUAAUUACAUCCUACUUGGAGGUAGCAGGGACGUGUCAUAUGUUUUUGGGAUCCAGGUAAUGUUUAGCUUACCUGCUAGACCACAUUACUUCCAAAAUAUUUACCUACCAUGACACGAAAAUCUAUUGGAUCUAGCACUGCAUUGUAGACUCAACAUAUCUAGCUCAGACCCAUCAUCCUCUCAUUCCGUGUUAUGUAUGCUUUUCUUUUUUUUUUUGAAAGAAAGGGGGAAUUAUCUCAGACUCAACAUAUCUAGCUCAGACCCAUCUUUAUAGAAUGAAGCAGAAUUAUGUAUGCUUUUCUUUUGAAGUUUUCAUCAACCUCGCUUUCUUUAUUCAGAUCAAGAUGGUUGUAUAUACAUCCAAAUUCAGACCACACAGUGCCUUACAAGGUGGGAAUCAGCAGGGCAAGGGAAGAAUCCUGGGAGGUAAUUUUGAUUAUCCCAUAAUGGGGACCAUGAUAGAUGUUGGCUAACUGUGUUUUGAAGAAUAUCAGUUUCCUCUUCUCUUGGUGUUUUUGGAUUUGCCUCAGUGUCAUCCAGAUUGAUUUCAUACACCAAAAUCUUAAUUCAACUCCUUUCUGGACAUAAGUUUAUAUGCACAUGCUAGAUAGUUUUGAUGUAUAUAUGCCUCUUCCUCUGAGUAGUAUGCUCCAAUUUUUUGUUUCUUCAUGUAUAUUGCCACCUGAAUAACACCCAGUUUCUCUAAAAAAAAUGGUGUGCUCUACAUACCUCUCUCUCUGCGGUGGGAAAUCUAUCAUACAGGGCAAUAAGAUGAAAUCGGUUUUUAAUUUGAGAUGUCCUUUAAAAAACCGAUGGAGAAACCAGGCGAAUUGGCGGUCAGCCCGCAUCAAUAUGGCGAAUCGACUGGAGUUGCCUUCUUGGUACAAUGCAUUGGCGUUGAAGCAGUGUCGCUGGUCUGAUCGCGGCGGUCAGCACCGCCCUCCCAUCCGGUCACAUUGCGCGACAUCAAUACAGGUCUGCGGCUCUGGGCCGGCAUGAAUGUGGUGCGGGAGGCUGCGCGUCUGUUGGAGAGAUAGAGCAUGUAUGUUUAUUUGUCUUUUUCUUACUUAACAGGUGGAUUUGCUCCAGUGAUUCUGCGGCCAUCGAGGAGGUGAGGUUUUUCCAUCAAAUGAUUUUACAGUCUGUUUGGUGUGAGCACUGCUACUAGGUGCAUAGCAAGGACUAGGACAAGCAUCAGUCAUGUAAUUUGUUAAUCGAUCUGGUUUUGCAAGUCGUUGAGUCCUCGUAGCUAUGUAGGAUUCCUAAUGGAUACUACCAUGAAUCAUGUUCUGUCGUUAAGGAGGACCUUUACUAAAUGUAUUUCAGUACUACUGAGCCUCUUCUAUUUUUGUCCUUUUGGCAUGGACAAGGAUUCACCUUGAAUACUAUUAUGUAGAGUACAUCUCUGUAUAGUUUUUUUUACAACAAAGUACAUGUCUAUAGUUAGCGUGGAGCGAUAACUCAUCUGUCAUUUGCACUUGCUGUUUCAUAUGGUCUUAUCAAUAGUAAAGUUUCUGGGAUUACAAUUAUAGUGGUUUACUUGGAAUAAGUACAGUUUAUGUCCUGAUAUUGUCACUAAUACUGUAUAAUCUAGCUUUACAUGCUUUUCUCAUUCUGGAGUGUAAUGUCAUGGACAUUUGAUGCGAUUUCAGACUUUUCAGUGUGCAAAUAUAUAUAUAUAUAUAUAUAUAUAUAUAUAUAUAUAUAUAGGGAAAAUCCAUCCUACCACCCGGUGGUAGUUACCCCAUAUGUCUCAGAUACUACCAUGUGGUACUAUAUAUACUACUUUAUCAUUUUAAAUAUAUUCAUAUACUAUAUCUAAGAUAUUUCAAAGCAAGUUACAUGAAAAAAUUACAUAUGAACCUAUAGUUUUUGUUAUAUACUACCUAAUCAUUGUUAUAUACUACAUACUACACGUACAUACUCUCAAUUUUCAUAGAUACUACAUACAACAUACAAAGCGCAAGUGGUGGUAACUACCACUGCUUGUAGGAAACAUUUGUCCUAUGUCAAAAUGACCAUGAAGGAUAUAGGUAGUACUCAGAAAAUGCCGAGCAAUAUGAGCUUGUCAUAGCAGCUAUUUAGUUGGAAGAAAACAUAGAUUGAAGAUGGAUAUAUCAGAUGUGCCUGCUUGAUAGAAUUCUUAUUUAGUUAUGUGGAGGCAGUGAUGCUUCCUUUGAUGUGGAUAUGCUUUUUUUAUUUGCUUACUUGCUUCUUGCUUGUCUAUCAGGCUACUUUGGUAGAUUUUAGAGAGAAAUUUGUUUUUUAACAAGACUAUCAAGGAAGUAUCAUGGCAAAGAUAUAUGUUGCAUUACUACAGUUGAGAUAAUUUGAUUUGAUUAUAAUAUGUCAAGCUUCUGAAACUUCACUAUGUACGCUGGUUUGGUGGUUUGAUAUUUGUCACACUGUACUCCUCCCUCCGUUCGGAAUUACUCGUCAAAAAAUGAAUGUGUCUAGAUGUAUUUUAGUUGUAGAUAUAUCCAUUUUUGUGACAAGUAAUUCCGAACGGAGGGAGUAAUAAGCAACAUACCACACAUACAUUCUUGAUUUUUUUUCCUACUCAAGAUCUCUACGCCUAAAUUUAUUGUUUGUUUUGUGGCACUGUGUGGACACUUUUCUCUUGGUGACCAAUAUCCCUCAAGCUAUAUGAGAUUUGAUUAAGAACAUAGGGAUACUUUUUUUUAACUCGUGAUGAUAAGUAUGUAUAUCUGGAAUUCAAGUUUGAGACACAUGUAUUUGGUUUAGUAGUACUCUUUCCGUUCAAAAGAAAUGUCGGGUUUUAGUUCAAAUUUGAACCGGCACUUAUUUUGAAACGGAGGGAGUACAUUGUAUAGGGAAAAAGGUAUCAUACUAUUUCGUGGGUGAGCGCUUUAAGCAGGAGGGGUUGUGAGUGCUACAAGUGGGCUUAUCAUGGGUUAGUAGAUAACAACGAGGAACUAGCAAGGUUGGAUCAACGUUGGAGACGAAUAACAAUGGUGAGCGAUGUUUAAAUUUAUGUUCCGUGGCAACGCACGGGCACUCAGCUAGUAUGAAUUAAUAGACCGAUAAGAUAUGUGCAUGCAGAUCCAAACAAUGAUUUAUGUUACAUCAUGAUGUGGAAUUUAUAGCAAUAUCCUCAUAAGAAUAAAAAGACAUAACAUCUGGACCGAGGCUCAUCUAAAUAAUAAUAAAAAGCACCUGAUUCAUAGGUUGUAUAAGCGUUUUUUGCCAACAUGGCAUGAGUCAAUUGAAAUAAAAUACUCAUGUGGAGAAUAUCAUCGACCUAUGUUAUAUGUAAACACUCAUGCAAUGGACUGACGCAUGCUUAAGAGCCGAAAAACAGUUCAAUGCUUUUUUUUACAAUGAGCGGACUUUUCAGACUUUAUCGUGGUCUAGGCUCUAUAACCGUCUUGGAAGCAUAAAAAAACAUCGCUUCAGUUGUGGCCUUCCAAAGAUCCGCUUCGGUCUCAUCACAAAGAGUUGGUUGCUCAGUGAUAACCCACAAGUAUAGGGGGUCGCAACAGUUUUCGACGGUAGAGUAUUCAACCCAAAUUUAUUGAUUCGACACAAGGGGAGCCAAAGAAUAUUCUCAAGUAUUAGCAGCUGAGUUGUCAAUUCUACCACACCUGGAAACUUAAUAUUUGCAGCAAAGUAUUUAGCAGCAAAGUAAUAUGAUAGUAGUGGUAACGGUAGCAAAAGUAAUGUUUUCUGUAUUUUGUAGUGAUGAUAGCAAUAGCAACGGAAAAGUAAAUAAGUGAAGAACAAUAUAUGGAAAGCUCGUAGGCAAUGGAUCGGUGAUGGAGAAUUAUACCGGAUGCGGUUCAUCAUGUAACAAUCAUAACCUAAGGUGACACAGAACUAGCUCCAGUUCAUCAAUGUAAGGUAGGCAUGUAUUCCGAAUAUAGUCAUACGUGCUUAUGAAAAAGAACUUGCAUGACAUCUUUUGUCCUACCCUCCCGUGGCAGCGGAGUCCUAAUGAAAACUAAGGGAUAUUAAGGCCUCCUUUUGAUAGAGUACCGGAACAAAGCAUUAGCACACAGUGAAUACAUGAACUCCUCAAACUAUGGUCAUCACCGGUAAGUAUCCCGAUUAUUGUCACUUCGGGGUUAACGGAUCAUAACACAUAAUAGGUGACUAUAGACUUGUAAGAUAGGAUCAAGAACUCUCAUAUAUUGAUGAAAACAUAAUAGGUUCGGAUCUGAAAUCAUGGCACUCGGGUCCUAGUGACAAGCAUUAAGCAUAGCAAAGUCAUAGCAACAUCAAUCUCAAAACAUAGUGGAUACUAGGGAUCAAACCCUAAUAAAACUAACUCGAUUACAUGAUAGAUCUCAUCCAACCCAUCACCGGCCAGCAAGCCAACGAUGGAAUUACUCACGCAUGGCGGUGAGAAUCAUGAGAUUGGUGAUGGAGGAUGGUUGAUGAUGACGAUGGCGACGGAUUCCUCUCUCCGGAGCCCCGAACGGACUCCAGAUCAGCCCUCCCGAGAGGUUUUAGGGCUUAGCGGCGGCUCCGUAUCGUAAAACGCGAUGAAACUUUUUCUAUGAUUUUUUCUCCCCUAAGCCAAAUAUAUAGAGUUGGAGUUAAGGUCGGAGGAGCUCCAGGGGGCUCACGAGGUAGGGGGCGCGCCCUAGGGGGGCAGGCGCGCCCCCCACCCUCGUGGACAGGUGGUGGGCCCCCUGUCCUUCAUCUUUUGCAAGGAUUUUUUAUUUUUUCUGAAAAGUUGUUCCGUGAAGUUUCAGGUCAUUCCGAGAAUUUUGUUUCUGCACAUAAAUAACACCAUGGUAAUUCUGCUGAAAACAGCGUCAGUCCGGGUUAGUUCCAUUCAAAUCAUGCAAGUUAGAGUCCAAAACAAGGGCAAAAGUGUUUGGAAAAGUAGAUACGAUGGAGACGUAUCACUCAGCCCCCUAGACAACAGAACACAACGCUUAUUUCACGGGCUCACUUAAUGACAAUACAAAGCCGCUCGAUUCAUUUGUCGUGUCGGGGGUUUUGUUGCCAGCGUGAAGUGAGUUGUUCCAAAGGGAAAUGCUCGGGUGGACACGGGGUCAACCUCCGUCAUGUGUGAAUACUCAUGCAACACAAACUGACACAUGUUUGUGGGUUGGGAGAACGAGUUUAAUGCUUACUGAUACAUCCAUUUUGCAUCAUGUUUUCUUACUAUUAUUCUUUAUGAAGUAAUUCUAAUGACUUUUCUCUCAUAAUAUGUAAGGUUUACACAAAGAGGGAGAAUGUCGGUAGAUGGAAUUAUGGACCUGAAAAAGCUAUGUCAGAGAUACUUAUUCCGCACAUCUCCAAAUAAGCUGGAAUUUACGAAGAAUUAUUUAAAAUAUAUAAUAAAUAUUGGAGAAAACAACUACUGGGGGCUGCCCGGUGCCCACAAGACACCAGUGUGCGCCAGGCCCCCCAGGCGUUGGCGCGCCCUAGUGCGGUAGAGCUGCAUAUCAAAACAUGGAGGAAACAAAGUGGAGACGGCGGCUCAGAUCUACGGCUUAGCGCCGCCGGAACCCAUGGCCGGAUGCCGUGCGGUCUCGUAGCCCCCGCCAGCGCGCCCGACGCCGUGGUGGCUACCCAAGCCCGGGCUUCCAUACAUGCAGGGUCGCGGCGUGGACUGAGGGCUGGCCCUGCGAGACAACUCCCUCGGCCGACAGUCCAGACCAUAAACAACAAGGGCCUGAGAGAGGAGGGCAGCGUUGGGCGGGAAAUUAGGAAUCAGCCUCGAGAAAGAAAGAGGGAAGGAGAAGGAGAGGUGAGCAAUCCCUCUUUCCUUUCUUUCUUCUGAACGAAGCAUCGAGGAAACGAAGGCGAGGAAGUUGCCUAGUCGAUGCAUUUUUCUAUCACUUUUUUCUCCUUGUCACUAUUCCAAUCUGACGUGGCACACCCGGGAGGGCGCCCCUUCUUUCGUUGUUGAUGGAUGGAAUGCUUACUUUAUAAUGAUAUUUGGAAGAAGAGAAAAACAUAAUGCCCUGAUCAUGGGCUCAUGUAGUACAAAAAGAUUACAAUUCAAUUCUUUUGUCGUAUAAGAGGUUUCAUAAAGUGGCAUGAGUUGGUCGAAACGACAAUACUCAGGUUGACAUGGGGUCGAGCUCUGUUAUAUGUGAAUACUUUAUGCAAAAUGGAUUGACACAUGUUCUUAGAUCCAGAGAAUGAUUUUCAUACUUACUAUAUGUCACUCAAACUUCUAACUCAUGUUUCAUCCUCACUCUUGGCUUUGUAGCGGUAUCCUCAAGAGAAUAAAUAACACACGGCUUAGGUCGUGGGCUCAGUGACAAACUAAUAUCACACGAUUUGUUGAGAAGGAAAUGCUCGUGUGGGUACAGUGCCGACCUCCAUUGUAUGUAAAUUUGCAAACAUACCAACGCGCGUCCACGGAUGGAGAGAACAAUUUUAAUGCUUACUUUAUAGGACUAAACUUCUCAUCCAGAGAGACAGGCUUUAGAGCGAUAUCCUUACAAGAAGGAAAAACACAAUGCUCCAGGCGAGGGCUCAUUUAAUAAAGAAACUGCUUGGUUCUUUUUUUGCGGGAUAAAAAUCGCUUGAUUCUUUGGUGGUACAAGCGGUUUCAUCAACGUGGCAUGAGUGAGUCGAAAUAAAAAUAAUAGGGCUGUCAUGGGGUUGACAUCCGUUGGGAUUUUAACAUUAGACAUAUAAGAUACGAUGCUCGCAAAUUCAGAGAACGGUUUUUAAUGCUUACUUCAUGAUGCUCAAACUCCGCAUGCUUCAUUCGGAUAUAUGCUCUAUAGCAAUAGCAAUAUACUCGUAUGAAUAAAAAAACAUCACUCUGAUCAUGGGCUCUUUUAAUAAUAAUAAUAACAAAACACCCCUUGAUUCAUUUGUCAUAUAGUCGGUUUUGCCAACACGGUGCAAACCAAUUGAAAGCAAAUGCUAGGGUGUUUACAAGGUUGGCCUCCACUGUUUGUAAAUACUUACGCAAAUAGAUUGACACGUAUCCGCAAAUCUUGAGAAAGGUAUUAAUGCUUACUUUAUGACGCUCUUUAUCCUAAUAUAAACUUUAUAGCGAUAUAUCCUUGAAAGAAUGAAAAACAUUGCUUCAGUUGUCAGCUCAUUUGAUAAAAAUAGGAGUAGUUCGAUUCAUUUUUACUUUUGACGUGCCAUCUCUCAUUUAACCGGUCAGAAUGUAGGGACUCUCAUGAUAAGGUGCGGAGCUCGACUUGUUGCUGCCAUUAUAGUCUACCUUUGUGAAAGAUCUAACAUUUGUGCGAAUAAGAGCGGGUGAACUUAGCACUAACUCAAACCGUCUACUAGAAUUAGGAAAAAAAGGAUGUUUAGAAGACCGGACAAAACACCUCCAUCGGAUGGCUUUUGCCAAUGUGAUUAUAGUCUAUCUUUGCGAAAGAUCUAGCACGUGCACGGAGAAGGGCGGGUGAACUGAGCACUCCCUCCAAUUUGUAACUUGAAAUAGAGAAGAAAAAUGUUAUUUGGAGGACCAUAAAAAACACCUCAAGUGGGGAGCUUUUGCCAACGUGGCACGAGUCAAUUAAAAGAGAAUAUUCAUGUCAACACGUGGGCGGCAUAUAUGUGAUAAUACUCAUACAAAUAGACCGACACAUGUUUCAUCUCGAUCUGGGCUAUACAACAACUUUUCCAGAAGAAUGAAAACACAUUGCCAUAUUCGUUUUUCUCGCACCCUCUUGUGGAUGGGUUAGACGCCGCCCCCUCUCGAUAGGGUGCGGGGCUCAGCUCGUCACCGCCUCGGUGGUCCAGAUGCCACACGUGAGCGGAGAAGGGUGGGUGAACCAAGCACCGGCUUCAGCAUUCACGAGAAGUAUAUAGAAAAUAAAAAGGCGGUAAAACAACCGGACGGAAACACUUUUGCCGUUGCGGCUUUUGCCGCAUGUGACACGGGCCGCCGGAGGGGAACCAAACCAUGCUCUGAAAAAACACCUCCCGAGGCUACAGAGGCAUCUUUUGAGCAGUUCGCAGGGUUUAGGGGGGUGCAUUGUGUUAUUUCACGAGACCCCAGGGGGGUACACGGACUUUACCCGGGCUGCGCGUUCUAGCACCUUCCGGCCGGCCGGCCCCACCGUCAGCGCCUUGCAGCGCACGCCGAGCGACACGUGGGCCCCGCCGUCUCACCAGCGCCGUCGGAUGGCGAUCGGACGGCUCCGCGCGCGUCAUCUUCCACCUCUCGUCGGCCUCGAGGCGACCCUCUCUCUCUCCUCCCCUCGAUGAGAGAGAAACCCUAAUCCCCAAAUCCCCAAUCCACUCGCCCAAAUCGAUCCCCUUUCCCCUCCCCCCCCCUCCGAUCCCGCCGCCCGCCGCCCGCCGCAGAUCCGCCCGGCCGCCGCCCCGAUCUGGUCCCGCCUCGCCGCCUCCGUCGGCCCCGGCCCGUCCCCCGAUCUGCUCCCGCCGCCCGGCGCGAUUCGGUCCGGUCCUGCCCCGGAGGAGGGAGGGAGGGAGGGGGCGGCGGAGGAGGAGAUUCGAUUCCGGAGGAUGGUCUGAUGGGCGGCGGCGGGGCGUCGAUGUUGGAUGAGGACGCAGCGGGCCGGAUCUGACCGCGCACCGCACCGCAACCUCCCUCCGCCUCCACCGCCCAUGCCGGCCGUCGGGGCGCGGCGCUCCACGCGCGUCUUCCUGCCCCGGGCGCACAAGCAGGCCCCGCGCCCGCCGGAGCCCGCCAGGGUCACGCGCUCCGCCAAGCGCCUCGCCGUCUCCUCCCACCGCCACUCCCACUCCCACUCCCACUGGCUCGGGUGGGACCGCGCCGCCGCCGACGUCAGCGACGACGACGGCGAUGACGAGGGCCCCAAGCCGCGCACGCCGUCGCCCGAGCCGCCCAUGUCGCCCAGGUCCUUCGGGGCCGUGUAUAGGCGCAAGCGCCGCCAGAGGCCGCCGCCGCUGGCCGAGCCGGAGGACUUCGGCGACGGCGGCAGCGGCAGGAGGUUCGGGAUAGUCUUCACCAGGAAGCACAAGCGGCCAAAGCUCGCCCCUUUCAGCCAUGCCGGCGGCCGCGACAUCCUGUGCUCCUCGUCCAGGGAGUUCGCUUCAAGGGCCGGGCUCCUUGAUAACGCUCAUUUACUUGAUGGCGCUGCCGGCAGUCGCAGUGCCGUGCUCGUCGUCAUCGUGGACCACGCGUAUUCCCCCGGGAGCUUCUCGCGCUUCCUCCUGCCCGUGUUGCUGUGGCUGCGCCGGCGCCAGCGGAGCCAUGUCCGGGGCCUGGCCUCAUUUCUUCUGGCCUCGCCGGCUGUCGCCACCGCGUUUGCGUCGCAUGGGGUGCACUUUAUCAGGCUCCAGCGCCAGAGAGCCGUAAGCAGCUUCUGUUACAGUAUACAGCUUCUGUUCAUUCUUGUGCCUCCAUCAUCUGUUACUUCCCUGUGCAGCCUGUUUGAUUGAUGUCGGUAUUUUCUUCAUGUAGAGUGCAUUGCUGUUACAGCGGACUAUGGUGGUGCACUGCGGGUGGUGCGAGCUCCGUGGUGCUGGCCCAUCCCGGCAGCCAGUGUUGUCGCUCAACUUCUCGGCGCUUCCUUCUUACUUCCAGGGCUUGCAUUCCGUGAUAGCUCUUCGUUUCAUAUAUCUGCCAGCCGUGAUUCGCCGGGCCAUGGGUUUGGUUGGAGGAGCUGAAGAAGAAUCGUAUUCUCGAGAUCAUCUGGAGGUGGAUUCUGGGUCUCCAAGCACCGGGGACGCUACACCUGCUGUUGGAUCUUACGGAGCGGUUCUGGAUUAUGUGCCCCUUGAGCAAGCUCCAGGAGUAGUGCUGCAUGGUCUGAGGCUGAAAAAGCACCAGAGGAAGCGAAGCUCGAUGAGGCACCCCCUGAGCCGGCGCCGCCGUCUCACAGUGAGAUUUUCUGACAAGGAUUUUGGAGUGAAGGAGGCUACAGUGCGCUCUCAGACGGAACUGCAAAAGCCACCAUUGACGGGUGGCCCUGAGGUUUCCGAGGAACCUGUCCAGCCCAAGCCAGCAAUGGAAAUUUCUCUUGAUCUGCUUGAGAACAUGGAUGACAGCGAUGUCUCGACGCCCAUGGGACCAAGUGGGAAGCAAAAGAGAUCCUUUUUCAAAAGCCCCGUUGAUCGCACGAGUGAAAGGCUGGCUCUGUCCGAGGUUAGACAGAAUAUAGAUACCUUCUGCUGCAAAGCAAACCUCUUGAUUAUUCAGGCUGAUAGGUGCUGGAGGGAAGAGGGAGCUGAGGUUAUGCUGGAACUAUCAAACUCCAACGGGUGGUGCGUGGCUGUGAAGUUACAUGGUGUCACUAGAGUCUCUCUUAAGCCAUCGGAGCAGCGGUUCUAUGUUGUCAACCGGCACACCCAUGCCUACGUCUGGGCAGUCGAAGAUGGAUGGAAGCUUGAGUUCCCUGACAAAUGGGACUGGCUUUUGUUCAAAGAACUGCAUAUCGAGGGACGGGAGCGCAAUUCUCAGGGAAAGAUUAUCCCGAUUCCAGGUGUGCUUGAGGUCUCCAAUGGCAUGGGAGGGACUGUAGCAGAUCCUUUCUCACGCCCUGUGCCAGACUAUAUCAGAACGGCGGAUGAUGAGGUUGCGCGGGCCCUCUCGAGAGAUUCAGCUUAUGACAUGGACUCGGAGGACGAAGAGUGGCUCAUUCAGCUGAAGCAUGGGGCCUCUGAUAGAAGACGCACCCGUCUGAGCCAGAUUUCCUACGAAGAUUUCGAGAAAUUAAUAACCUUGUUCGAAAAGGACGCCUACAAUAAUCCUGAGGAAGCUAAUGAUGUGGAUCAGCUUCUCUCCAGGCACCCUGCUUUAGGCAAGGGUGACAAUGUCCUUGCCAUAUAUGAAUACUGGAUUAAUAAGAGAGAUAAGAAAGGCACACCACUGCUUAGGAUAUUUCAGGUAAAUUCGGAGUUUAUCCCUUGCCUAAUUCCCUGAUGUGAUCUUUAUCAUAGUUAUCCUUUUAGUUUUUGUGCAUUCGUUCAUAUCAUCUAACCCAGCGAAUUUGAUUUCCCAAAGGGUGCACCUGCUGUAAGGCGAGGGCGGCUGUCGCAGAAAUCUUCUGUAAAAAAGAAGAGAUCUGUGAAGAGACCACAAAGAAGCCAACCUGGCCGAGGAAAGCCUGGAUUCUUCUUGCAAGGUAUUUAAAGCUCUGUAACAUGCCCUGCUUUUGGAUGGCGCACAAAUAAUUUUAUGACUUUGCUGUACGCAAAUCGUGAUGCUAUUAAAUCUUCUGUGACUGGAACCACCAUGUCUUGUCCUUUUGCGUUUGCCAUUUGACAUAGUAACAUUUAACCUCACUAUGACCGAAAAGGGUGAACAUUGUCGAGCUCAGGGAUAUAGCAUGUCUGUUGGCAUUCCCUUAGUUGUAUAUCUAUUCUACCUCGGCAUUCAGCUGCUGAAGUUAUGGAACAAUCUAACCUGUAAGGUAUUUAAAGCUCUGUAACAAGCCCUGCUGUUGGAUGCCACAAAAUCAUAUUAUUUGGCUUUGCUGUAUUCAACUUGUGAUGCUAGAAAUCUUUUGCUGGGAACCACCAAUAUGUAGUAACUUUAUGUCUUGGCCUUUUCUGUUUGCCAUUGGACAUUGUAAUAAGUAGAGCUCAUUAUGCCUGAACGGAGUAAACAUCAUCGUGCCCAAUACGUAGUAUGACAACCCCCUUAGUUUUAUAUCUACUCUACCUUAGCAUUCAGUUGCUGAAGUUAUUGGACAGUCUAACUUAAUAAGGUAUUUCAAGCUCUGAAACAAGCCCUGCUGUGGGACACCACAAAAUCUUUCUUUGACUUUGCUGUAUUCAGGCUGCGAUGCUAGAAAUUAUUUGUGACAGGGAACCACCCAUGACUUUAUAAAUAUGUGACGUGUGUGUCUUGUCUUCUUGUGUUUGUCAUUUAUUUGACAAAAUAGUAACAAGUAAACUUCAUUAUGCCUGAACAUAGUAAGCGGAUAUCACCGUGCCCAAAAUAUAGUAAGCCUGUAAUCAUCCUCUUAGCUGCCUGUAUAUAUCUAUAAUGCCCUGUAAUUUAGCUGUUCAAGUGAUGUAAAACAGUCUUAUCUAGCCUGUACUCAUUGUCCUUGUGUUGUGCAUUUUGCUGUGUGCAGGUGGCGAAGGGGAGGCCUUGCAGAGGGUGGUGGAAGCCGACCGCGCUGCGAAACAGGCCGUAGAGAAGGCCGUUCAGCUGCGCAGCAGAGCCCAGGCCCUCAUGGAGAGGGCCAACCUGGCGGCGUACAAGUCGGUGAUGGCCGUGAGGAUCGCGGAGGCCGCGAGCGUCUCUAACAAGUGCCGGGAUUUCGUGUGGAGGAGCCUCGACUAGCCUUGUGGAUUUUUUUGCUCCUUGAUCCGCCGUGUGUGAUAUAAUUGGGCUAGGCUGCGAGGCUGUAUUUUUUUUGUACCCCCUCCUCUCCUCCGGUUGUAACUAUGCGAAGAAGAAGAAGAAGCGGAGUUGAUGGAUCCCGAGCCGGACUCGGACUCGGAGACGAAGAAACUGUAAUUCGUUGUGUAAAUGAUAGUUUGGUUAGCUAGAUGAUGAUGAUGGACCCACCAUUCCUGACAAUUCUGUAUGUUACAUGUACCGCCCAUGUUUUGACAGAGGAAAAAGGAAAAAAAAAAAGACCCCGAGGUAUUGCUUGAGCAGAGAGGAGGGGAAACAGUUGAAUGAUUUGAAAUGAAUGGAUGGAUCAUCUGACGAGAGUGGCUUGCCAUGUUUCCUGAAAACUCCCAGCAUGAAUGAAUCAUCUGAUGAGCUGCUGUUGGGUGGGGGUUUGUCUUAUCAACAGAGAUGCAUCUCUGUCUCUUGUCCCAUGAAUCUUGGAAGAUUGGAGCAUCCACUCUGCUGUGUGAAUAGUAGUUAUGUUGGAGAGUGUGGUCAGUUUGUAAUAAAAUGCCACCAGUAUCUUAUAAUUUUAUUAUUUCACCUUGGCAAAGUAGUAACUAGUAUAUUGUGUUGCUUAGUUUCCAUCCAUGUGUAUAUUUGGAUGCUUGUUUAGCUUGGUCUGGUGCGUAUGCUUUGUCGAGUGAAGUCUGAUUUAAACCUUGAGGCUUCAUCGAGUGAAGUCUGAUUUAAACCUUGAGGACAUGUGAAUGCAUAAUACUCCUGAGAACAUGGGCGUGGAUCUAAAUAACUCCACAACUUGAUUAUCUUGGCAAAGUAGUAGGUAGUAUAUUGUGUUGCUUAGUUUCCAGCCAUGUGUAUACUUGGAUGCAUUGCGAGCGUGUGAAUUUGCUUUGUCGAGUGAAGUCUGUUUUAAACCUUGAGGCUGUAGAGGGCUCGCCUCCGUGUGUAUGCGGCAUGGCUCUAAAUAAUUCCACAGCUUGAUUAUCUGGUUGCUGUCUUUUUUGUUUUGUGCAUUCAUCAGGAGAUAAAAGACAAGUUUUGCAAGUGCAAAAAAAAUGGUAACUUUGAGCCGGAAACAUGUGGCGAGAGGAGGAGCGAGCGAUGAGAUGAUCCUUCCAGAGUGGAGAGAAGGGUUGUGAGGCGGAGGUGUUCCCCUCCUCCUCUGCUCGCUGCCUCUCGCCUUAUCCCCCUCUCCUCCUCCUCCUCCUUUUCCCCUUCCCCGCUCGACCCACCCACCGCGCCGGCGAUGAUGUCGAUCACCUCCACCGCCGCCGCCGCCGCCGGCAGCCCGGUCUACACGCCGCUCGUCUCCAGGGGCGGGCGGCGCAGCAGGUGCGCCGUCCGAGCCCAAGGUACGCGUCCCUUGUCAACCAACCCUCCAAUCCCAAAUCCAAAUCAUCUGAAUCUGAAAAAUCGAUUCUUGCUCCCUUGCUGGGCGUGGCAGCGGCCGGAGAGGGGACAGCCGCCGCCGACGGGGCGGCGUCGGAGCACAAGUCGCUGGAGAUAAUGCGCAAGUUCUCGGAGCAGUACGCCCGCCGCUCCAGCACCUUCUUCUGCUCCGACAAGUCCGUCACCGCCGUCGUCAUCAAGGUCACCCUCCCUCCUGCUGCUCCUAGAUGCCACUCUUGUUGCUGCACUCCUUCCGCCGGUAUCUAACUAUUCCACCAAACCAGUCAGAACUCAGAACCAGGCUCUCAUCUUCUCUACUAGCUACCAGCCGCUGCAAAUGCCGGCUGAUUAAGGUCAAACAGCGCAUUCAUGCCGGCAGCGGUACACAUCAAGGAGUUCAUUUAUAUACCUGCUGGUGGUGCUUCUCUAAUGAUGUGAUGUGCCUCCUUGAUGAUUGAUUGAUUGAUUGGUUCAAAUUAAGGUCAAACAGUGUUCGUGGCGCUAGUGUAAAUCAAGCAAGGGUUACCUAACGGCCACACUGAUGAUGUGUCUGCGCCUCACCUUGAUGAUCAAUUGAUUGUUAACUGAAAGGAAAACCCUUUUGCAGGGGCUUGCUGACCACAAGGAUCAACUCGGAGCACCUCUCUGCCCCUGCAGGUAGUACAGUAUUAAAUCGCCUCCAGCCUUCUUAGCAACGUAUCGUCCGUUUUUUGUUUCUGACAGACAAGUGGGUUAAUCAUAUAGGCAUUACGACGACAAGGCCGCCGAGGCGGCACAAGGGUUCUGGAACUGCCCGUGCGUCCCCAUGCGAGAAAGGUGAGGCUGCCGUUUCCAAGUUCUCGCCUUCUGUUAUAUCACUUACUACGGUAGCGUGUAUAACAAGGAUGGGAUGGGAUGCUCUUUUUUCCAAUCGUGUUUAAAUGCCAGAGAUGUACCAGAGGGUUCAGUUCUAACCCUCUCUGGCUUCUUAUCAUUGUCCGACAUAGGAGUAUGUUCCUUUCUGCUGCGUACCCAUCUCGCAUCAUUAACUGUGAUUCGCCACCGGAGCACAAGGUAGCCAGAUGCGUAUCUCCGGUGAUGUUACCGUAUAUUGUUGAUAAAUACCAGCAUUACUUGUGCAUAGCGGUAAACAACCGUGGCACGCAAUCCGUGCUGGCUUUCAACUGGAAAGGGAUUUUAUUACAGCGAAAGCUCGGUUAGAAUCAUCUGUUCUUCACCCACUUGUGCAUGGCAGUAAACAAUUACCGUGGAAUGUAAGGGAUUUCAAGUGAAAGCUCGGUUAAAUCAUAUGUUCUUGACCCACUUGUGCGUAGCAGUAAACAACUACCGUGGAAUGUAAGGGAUGUCAAGUGAAAGCUCGGUCAGAAUAAUUUGUUCCCCACCCACUCAUGUUAUUAUAGUAAAUAAACAGCCAUGAAACAUAGUUUAGUUUCUGCUGGUAUGUUGUGACCUGCAAAGUAUAAAAAGGGGAAAUCUCGGCUAUAGCAAUCUGGUCUGUUUCUUCAACUUUGUGAUCUGCUUGUGCAGGAAGGAGUGCCAUUGCAUGCUUUUCCUUACGCCCGACAACGAUUUUGCCGGAGAGGACCAGGCAUGCCCUCUUUUCUUUUCGUACUGUCGAUGCCACAACUAGCUUCAGAUACUGCCUAGCUCUAACACGUAGACGCAUAACUGUUUCAGGCUAUCAGCUUGGAGGAGAUCAAGGAGGCGACGUCCAAGUACUAACCACACAGCACCUGUUUUGCUCAGAGAGGGGCUAUAGUCAGUCGUAGUUGUCGGGACCUGUAUAUGUAGUAUCUCUGUAACAACAGGAACUAAGAAAUGCCUGUCUGGAAUGAUGUCUGUUGUCAUCCAUCUUGAGAGAAGUUAAGGCCUGAUGGUUGCACUCCCGACUCGUCAAUGUUACGAUUUAUUGUGUGUUUGGGCUGGCGUAAAGCGUACUCCAUGACAAGUGAAGUGAAGGAUGUUGUGUGAGACGUCGUCUCCGAUGCUUCUUUUUCUUCCUGAAUGAAUGAAUGAUGUGUGGAAGGGAAGCAACAGCGACGCGCCAUUGCCCAUGUCCGUGGCACCCAACAACUUACAUUUUCUCAAUGUUAUUAUUAUUAUUAUUAUUCUUAUUGUGUCUUGUGUUAUGCAUCUAUGUGUUGCUUUUGCAUUUGCAGCCACGCUGUUAUAUGUAUGUGCAUCCAUGUGUCGUCGGUGAUGACCGAGCGUUUGAGUGAAACCGAAAAGCUAAGCUAAGCUCAUUUCCAGGUUAACUGAUCAGCAGGUAUUACCAUUUGGUCUACAAGAAUUGUGUUCUUUGUUAUGCAAUCUCUGUUUUGCUUUUGCAACCACCAGGUUCAUUUCCAGCGAACCGAUCAACAGCUAUAAUGCGCAAUUCGCUCGAG